rnacentral:rRNA from 1 species
ACUCCUACGGGAGGCAGCAGUGAGGAAUAUUGGACAAUGGGCGCAAGCCUGAUCCAGCCAUGCCGCGUGCAGGAAGACUGCCCUAUGGGUUGUAAACUGCUUUUAUACAGGAAGAAACACUCCCUCGAGUAGGGAGCUUGACGGUACUGUAAGAAUAAGGAUCGGCUAACUCCGUGCCAGCAGCCGCGGUAAUACGGAGGAUCCAAGCGUUAUCCGGAAUCAUUGGGUUUAAAGGGUCCGUAGGUGGAUAAUUAAGUCAGAGGUGAAAGUCUGCGGCUCAACCGUAGAAUUGCCUUUGAUACUGGUUAUCUUGAAUUAUUAUGAAGUAGUUAGAAUAUGUAGUGUAGCGGUGAAAUGCAUAGAUAUUACAUAGAAUACCAAUUGCGAAGGCAGAUUACUAAUAAUAUAUUGACACUGAUGGACGAAAGCGUGGGGAGCGAACAGGAUUAGAUACCCUGGUAGACUGUCAU